CCUACGGGACGCAGCAGCCGCGGUAAUACGUAGGUGGCGAGCGUUGUCCGGAAUUACUGGGUGUAAAGGGAGUGUAGGCGGGAAAGCAAGUCAGAAGUGAAAACUAUGGGCUUAACCCAUAGCCUGCUUUUGAAACUGUUUUUCUUGAGUGAAGUAGAGGCAAGCGGAAUUCCUAGUGUAGCGGUGAAAUGCGUAGAUAUUAGGAGGAACACCAGUGGCGAAGGCGGCUUGCUGGGCUUUUACUGACGCUGAGGCUCGAAAGCGUGGGGAGCAAACAGGAUUAGAUACCCUGGUAGUCCCAAACA
rnacentral:rRNA from 1 species